ACGGCAUGAUGGGGACAUUUUCUGAUGAGAUCCUUUAAUCUCUCCCAUGACUCAUGGAACUGCUCAUCAUCUUGUUGCGAAAAGCUAGCGAGAUCUCGUCUUAUCU
rnacentral:snoRNA from 1 species